CACGUAGGCGGCUUUGUAAGUUAGAGGUGAAAGCCCGGGGCUCAACUCCGGAACUGCCUUUAAGACUGCAUCGCUUGAAUCUGGGAGAGGUAAGUGGAAUUCCGAGUGUAGAGGUGAAAUUCGUAGAUAUUCGGAAGAACACCAGUGGCGAAGGCGGCUUACUGGACCAGAAUUGACGCUGAGGUGCGAAAGCGUGGGGAGCAACA
rnacentral:rRNA from 1 species